UACGGAGGGGGCUAGCGUUGUUCGGAAUUACUGGGCGUAAAGCGCACGUAGGCGGCCUUGUAAGUUAGAGGUGAAAGCCCAGGGCUCAACCCUGGAAUUGCCUUUAAGACUGCAUCGCUUGAACACGGGAGAGGUGAGUGGAAUUCCGAGUGUAGAGGUGAAAUUCGUAGAUAUUCGGAAGAACACCAGUGGCGAAGGCGGCUCACUGGACCGUUGUUGUCGCUGAGGUGCGAAAGCGUGGGGAGCAAACAGG
rnacentral:rRNA from 1 species